CUACGUGCCAGCAGCCGCGGUAAUACGUAGGUCCCGAGCGUUAUCCGGAUUUAUUGGGCGUAAAGCGAGCGCAGGCGGUUAGAUAAGUCUGAAGUUAAAGGCUGUGGCUUAACCAUAGUACGCUUUGGAAACUGUUUAACUUGAGUGCAAGAGGGGAGAGUGGAAUUCCAUGUGUAGCGGUGAAAUGCGUAGAUAUAUGGAGGAACACCGGUGGCGAAAGCGGCUCUCUGGCUUGUAACUGACGCUGAGGCUCGAAAGCGUGGGGAGCAAACAGGAUUAGAUACCCUGGUAGUCCACGCCGUAAACGAUGAGUGCUAGGUGUUGGGUCCUUUCCGGGACUCAGUGCCGCAGCUAACGCAUUAAGCACUCCGCCUGGGGAGUACGACCGCAAGGUUGAAACUCAAAGGAAUUGACGGGGGCCCGCACAAGCGGUGGAGCAUGUGGUUUAAUUCGAUGCAACGCGAAGAACCUUACCUACUCUUGACAUCCAGAGAAUUCGCUAGAGAUAG
rnacentral:rRNA from 1 species